rnacentral:misc_RNA from 1 species
AUAUCUCAACCUUCUCGGUUUCUUCUGGACACCGAAGGAGGCUUGGACUUUGGAGGCCUUUGCUGGCGUCUCGUCAGCUCCUCUCAAAUGAAUUAGCGGGGUCCUCUUUGCCGAUCCUCGACAUGUGAUAAGAUGUUUCCAUGUCUUGGUUUCUGGCUCUGUUGCUUUUGGGACCCGCUUCUAACCGUCUCAACCUUGCAUCGAGACAACGUUCGAGUGUGUCUCCCUUCUCGGGGAACUCUCUCGAACCCACGAAC